GGGAGCCCGGUGCGGGAAAUCCGCCCGCCGGGUUCUGUCCGGGGGGCGGCCCGAAAGAGCCGUCCCUACCGGGAU
rnacentral:ncRNA from 1 species